rnacentral:lncRNA from 1 species
GCUUCCAUGGUGCCAAGUCCCCUAGAAUCAUGCAGUGGUUUUACCACGGUAGCGUCUCCCCAUCGUGUAUCUGUAUCAUUCUCGAAUGCUUUCGUAGUGAGAGCAGUGGUGGGCCUUCCCGUUUUGGGAUCAGCUUUAUGUUCACCAAGCCUGGUGUCUGGCCCUCUCCUCGUGCUGCCGAUGUGGAGUUGUAGCUUGGCCUCAUCGUUGUUGAAAAUCGGUGUUUCGUGUACCCCCGCUUUUUGACCGGCCUCCAUACUAUCUUUGUCGUUGCGGAGCAGGCCAGGUAUCGUCGUUCCCCGUUUCUUCACCAUCUUUGUAGUAUCCUGCUUGAUUGCCUUAGUCAGUACUCUAUCCGUAGAGGGGUAAUAUGUGAC